rnacentral:rRNA from 1 species
UACGUAGGGUGCAAGCGUUGUCCGGAAUUAUUGGGCGUAAAGAGCUCGUAGGCGGCUUGUUGCGUCGGCUGUGAAAACCCAUGGCUCAACCGUGGGCUUGCAGCCGAUACGGGCAGGCUAGAGUUCGGUAGGGGGAGACUGGAAUUCCUGGUGUAGCGGUGAAAUGCGCAGAUAUCAGGAGGAACACCGGUGGCGAAGGCGGGUCUCUGGGCCGAUACUGACGCUGAGGAGCGAAAGCGUGGGGAGCGAACAGG